AGAGAGAAACACGCCCCGUGACUCAGAGGCUGUGCCAGGUGUCGGUGGGGCCAAGCCGCUGCCAGGCACAAGAGCAGUGGGAUGGAUCUAGUCCACAGGAAGGUCUUCUGGGGCAGGAGGAAAUCCAGGCUCGGAGGGGAAGAAGCUGGGAGCGAGUGUGGACAAAUCCUGCUGGCUGAGCCUCAGGGGCACCCGAGACAACAGCCCAGAGGACAUCCUUUGAACCUAAGGAGGAUUACCGGGUUUCUGAAAGGACUGCACACAAACAAAGGGCCCCAGAGUGUCAUUCCUCUGGACGAAACCUCCCAAGGCUUCCAACAGUUGGUGCAGGAGGGGAAGUUUCUGGAAGCCUACCUGAGCGUCUCCGCGUCAGCAUGGGAAGGGCAGGACUGCGGCCCCCAGUACCAGGCUCUGGCCCAGAGCAUGUGGCAAGUGGUCCAGCAGGCUCUGGAGGGCGUCAGGCUCGGCCAGGAGCUGGAGCUGAAGCUCCAGGCGGUGCUGGACACUGUGGAGUACACACAGGACCAGCCCCCGAGCCCGGAGGCCGGUACCCUCGAGGACGGCACAGUCGCCACCUGGGGCAGUCAGCUGGAGAGGCUGCUGAGAAAUGACGCUGAGGCCCGAGUGCCCACCUGGGACCCCAGGGACGAGCUGGGCCCUUUCCUGGAGAAGCUAAAGGAGGCUGUGAGACAGGGCCUGGGGUUGCUGAGGGCGAGCCGGCUGGGGGCCCGUCUCUGGACGAUCUACAGCACCUGCUUCCAGGAGGUCCUCCUCAGCCGCCUCUUGGAGCUCAAGCACUCCUGCGGCACCAGCUGGAACAGCUGCUGCGUGCUGUAUGCCUGGGGCAGGACGACCUUGUUUGGGCAGCUGGGCAGGGAGACGCUUCCGAAUGCACCUUCCACCUCCCAGAAGCCCACGGCCGGGUACCUCUUGGACUCCAUGAUGUUUGUGACCUGGAUGUCCCAAGUGCAGAAGAAGCUGGUGGGGCUGGUCCAGGAAAGGCUGGAGGAGACUCUAGAAAAUGUCCUGAUCUGCGAUCAGAAAAAGUGGGCCCCGUUCUCCCACCCAACGUUCCUUGAAAUCUUCCAGCUGCUGGAAGAAGCCAUAAUUGCAGCAAGACCCAUUGGACCAUCGGUCACUAGCCAAGUUCAAGCCAUGGUUCUGGAAAUAUUUUCAAAGUUUCUGAACAGGUACCAGGACAAGGCUGUCCACUUCCUGCAGCAGAACGCCACUGCGGGGGCCUUCCCCGAGGUGCACCUGCUGGGAAACUGCUGCAUCCUCAGGAAAACGUGGCAGGAGCUGAGUCAGGCAUGCUUUCCACCUGCAGACCUGGUGACCGCGGUACAGGGUGCCAUCCACGCCAUUGAGGGCCACAGUCAGGACCACCUCCUGCUUAGAGUCAGAGCCCUGUGCCAGAAUCUGCUGAGGGGCCACUUCGGAAGGAAGGAGAGGGAUCUGGUCAAGGCUCUGCAGUCCCUGUGGCAGGGCCUGGAGGGCUGUCCCAGCCUGCACUCCACUCCCGUGUAUGAGAGCAUCAUGCAAAGUUUGCACAUGGUGGUCUUUGGGGAGUACGUCCAGGCCCUGGCCACCCACCUCAGGAUGCUGGCGCCCAGGAAGUGGGGGAGCCUGAGGACUCAGGUGGAGACGGACAUCUGGAAGUUGGACAACAUCUUCAGGAAGCACGGGGGUCCCGGCUUGGCCAUCCCAGAGGAACCCAUCCUGGGGAUCUUCCAGCUCAGUGAGAACAAGGGCAGGGAGACUGUGGAUGAUUGGCUGGCCUCCUUCAGGGACAGAUUCCCAGGUUAUCUGAGCAUGCAGGACCAGCCAUGCAGCUCUGUGGACUUGGAGGUUGAGGUCAAGGGAAGAUCCUGCUGCUGCUGCUGAUCCCCCAGCUCUGCACCAGGGUCUGGCAGAACCCUGACUGCCCUGAACAGAGGUGGAAGUGAGCAGUAGCUUCAGGGAACCUCGGGCUGUGGAAGUUGUGUGACUCCAGCAGCUACCUAAGGCAAAGGAUCUGGGUGCCCCUGAUCCCAGUGCCCACCCAGUGGCCACUUCAUAAAUGACAGCCUGAUAUUCAGGAGGAAGCCAAUCCUUCCGAAGUCUGGACUCUUCUAUCAGAAGGAAUGCCUGGGGCAUUUACCCUGGAACCCAGCCACCAAGCUAUAAGGUAGGCCAGGCCUUGUGGGAGGCCACGUGCAGGUGUCCCAGCCAGCGACUCUACUGAGGACCCAGCCAGGGCUAUGGACGUGAACCCCAGAUGUUUGAGUGAGGAGAGCUUCAAGAUUCCUACAGCCCCAGCUGCUGUCUGAUGUAUUAUCAGAAUUAACUUGUGUCUGCACACCUGGACACUUGCCUGGUGUGGAGACCCCCACACCUGGUGUCAGAAGAGCAGUCGCAGGAAAUGUCUUGGGUGGACGUUCAGGUACCGCUGCCUCCGGGCUACGCAAAUAAAUCGCAGCCGACAGGCCUCUGGUUAACUCUA
ensembl:lncRNA